UAAACUCGAAACCUCGUCUCUUUUAAUUUCGAUCUCCCCUAUUUAAAGCAGACAAAACGAGCCGUUGUAAUUUGUAAACAACUUAUUAGUAUUACUGAUGCUGCUUCUUCUUCUUCUUCUUGUUGGGGAGAAGAAGUAACUUGGCUCUCCCAAAUACUAUAAGAAAUUUGAAUUUGUAUACACAUUUUUCACAUUGAUUCGUACCGUUUUCAAGAAGAACUAAUCCCUUAUUGUCGCCGCGUGAUUUAGCAAAUACAUUGAUGGAGGAAGAUUCUGAUUCUUGUAACUCCAAUCAAUAUUCAAGGUUAGCAAAGAAGUUUGGAGCUGCUAUCGUUACUCUUGAGCAUCAGUAUUAUGGGAAGAGUUCACCCUUCAAGUCUUUAUCAACUGGGAAUCUGAAAUAUCUGUCAUCAAAAUAGGCACAUUAUAACUUAAGGGCUUUCAGGAAUUUCUAUCAGGCUGGCAUCUUGAUCCUAUUUCCUUUAUCCGUGUAGGAUAACUGGAUAAGCCAACCUCCAAAUUUGUGGCACUAUAGAUGGCAUUGGCAUCUUGAUCCUAUUUCCUUUAUCCGUGUAGGAUAACUGGAUAAGCCAACCUCCAACUUUGUGGCACUGGAGAUGGCAUGCCUUGGGAUUAUAGCCCUUCGCCUAGAACGAACUUAAAAUCUGAAGAACCAUAUUUAGUGCCUCUUACAUAAUCUCUUGCCAUAACUGCGGCCAUGGAGUUGACAUGCAAGGUUGUUCCCAGUCUCCAUUAUUACAUGAGGGUAAGAAUAUGUCUAAUAUAAUACUUCAUUCACUUUAGUUUAGUUGCUAUUAUGUUACCUUAAAUAGGGAAAGAAGAGUCAAAAUUAUUAUACUAUUAAUUGGGCAACAUAUAUGAAAGUCGAGUGUAAAAUGAUUAAAAAAAAGAUAAGCAUAUAAGAGAAGAUGAACAUAAAGAGAAUGCAAUUACGAAGUAAUUUAUAUGUUUUCUAAUAUAAAAAGGAAAAAUUAAAAAAAGUACCGUGCCUAGGUGGGACAGGCGGGAAAGGAGGGUCCUAGGCGUGGUCCCGGAUCCAGGCAGGGGAGGGGGCGGUGUUGCAAGACCUGGGUGUGGUCCCCGGUCCAAGCGGGGGAAUGGGGUCCUCGGCCUAGGCGUAGUCCAGGGCUAGGCGGGGGACAAUUUCGGGUUUGAGGUCCCGGGCUCGAGCGGAACCUGGGACCCGGAGGGACGGGACGGUCCCGGGCUCGAAAGGAGCCUGGGACUCGGAGGGAGGGAGAGGCGAUCCCGGGCUCGAGUGGAACCUGGGACCUGAGGGGGAGAGGGGGCAGU